rnacentral:tRNA from 1 species
AGGAGUGUAGCUCAAUCGGUAGAGCACUGGUCUCCAAAACCAGAGGUUGUAGGUUCAAUUCCUAUUGCUCCUG